rnacentral:rRNA from 1 species
UACAGAGGCUGCUAGCGUUAUUCGGAUUCACUGGGCGUAAAGGGUGCGCAGGCGGCCAAGUGUGUGAGGCGUGAAAGCCUGGGGCUUAACUCCAGAAUUGCACCUCAAACUACAUGGCUAGAGCAUUGGAGAGGGUAGCAGAAUUCACGGUGUAGCAGUGAAAUGCGUAGAUAUCGUGAGGAAUACCAGAGGCGAAGGCGGCUACCUGGACAAUUGCUGACGCUCAGGCACGAAAGCGUGGGGAGCAAAAGGG